GGAGCCGUUUGGUAGUAAGGUUUCUAGAGUUGGUAUUUUGAAUGUAAAGUAGGUAUAUGCAUGCAGAAUUGAGUGGCCUUUUCUAACCACUAACUUCUGGGUUGUGUUAUCUCUACAUAAGUACUCAUUCAUUUUAACCGAAUUCCUCUUUAUUUGGUCACAAAUAAUAGUGUUUGGGUUGGACUUGUAGCCUCUACAACCUGGCAACAUUGUUUCUGCAGGAGAGGUGAUCAAGGGGACUUUACAUUUCUUUGAACGCCUGCACUGCCCCCUGCAACCCUACCUGUAACACAGCAGAAGAACCUAGAAAGGUUUCUGGGGUGUGAAUAAGAAUGGUUUGAUGCUCCUGCUGAACCUAUUGAUGGGCUAAACCCUUUAAUGUUUGUCUUUCUGCAGCUGUAGGAACUUAGUCUUUUUGUGGCCUGAGUUUACCACUCUUCUAUCUAAUAAGUGCCCACCUGGAGUACAGAUUAAAUCUUACCUUGCUUCCCUCCCUGCUACAAAGGGCAUCUCAGUGUGGACUCAGGGGAAGUGCUGAUCUGACUGUGCAAGCCCCCCCUCUCCACUUCAGCGAGAUGCGGUCUCAGUAUGUUGUCCAGGCUGAUCUCAGAUCCUUGGCCUCAAAGGAUCCUCCUGUCUGGGUCUCUCAAACUGCUGGGAAUACAAGCAUGAGCCACCACAGCUGACGAACAGCUAUUUUUGAAUAAAGUAAAGGAAGAGAGGGAGGGAGAGAAGAAGGAAGAAGAAAAAAAAGAAAAGAAGUGAAGGAGGGUUAACUACAGCCAAAGAAAAAGAAGCAGCCCAACAGAGAGCUCAGGAAAAUUACACUUCAUACAUCCAACUGCUAUGGAAGAGGAUGGAGGUGAGAAGCGGAGGGAGAAAGAAGGAUGUGAUAUUCCAUCCCCAUUAAGAAAAUUUUUCAAGCCCCCAAUCUGAACCUACUGAAUCAGAAUUUGAGGAGAUGAGACCUGUAUACCUAGAUUUUCAAAAGACUCUCAACUCUAUCCACUCUCAUCACUUCUAUUUAACAUUAUACUGGAGGUCCUGGCCAGGGAAGUAAGGCAAGUAAAAAAAAAUUC
rnacentral:lncRNA from 10 species